rnacentral:lncRNA from 1 species
CCAUCGGGUCGUCGCAGCUCUUCCACGGCCACCGGUCAUCGGCAACGGUGAUCGUUGCCUCCAGUGGCCGGAGAUGCAAAAAGGUGCCUUUUUCGCUCCUUUUGACCCCCAAAGCUUGGAUCUGAAGGCGAUGCCUUCAAAACUCAAAAAAAAUAAAUAAUAAAAACUUUCAACCUUUCCCUUAUUCGUCAAAUCCUAGGCGAAACCCUAGUGGGUUCUGAGGCAUUUGGAGUUUGAGAUGGUCUUCGACGAUGGUGGAAGGCGAAAUGAUAGGUAAGGAAAUAAACUUUUAUUAUUUAUUUAUUAUGCUUUUUCAAAAAUGAAAAAUAAGAAAAAAUGAAGUACCUUUUUAACGUUUUUUUUUUGUUCUUCUAUUUAAAAAAAUCUUCUAAAUUACAUCUAUUGUUGUGGCUUUUAUAGCUAAUUACAUAAUAUUUGAUUUUUCUUCUUUUUUUUUUUUUUGCUUUUUCUGUCAUUUCCAUCUUUUGUUCUCUGAUCCCUUUUUUUUUCUUCUUUGUAAGUAUCCAUGGCAAGGUCAACGAUGAUAGGGAGUCGCACCCUUGCCAUUUCAGUGAAAAGAUGGCAUGAGGCAGUCCUCGGGUGAUUUAUCCGCUGACAUGGCCAGGAAUAGCGGGGCUUAAGGGAUAGAGGUGGCUAGGGUUUCUAUUUAGUUUUUUAGGUUUUGGGCUUUGGGCUUUUAGGGUUUUUAGGUUAGCAGAUUUGGG